rnacentral:rRNA from 1 species
UACGUAGGGUGCAAGCGUUAAUCGGAAUUACUGGGCGUAAAGCGUGCGCAGGCGGUUUCACAAGCUCGAUGUGAAAGCCCCGGGCUUAACCUGGGAAUGGCAUUGAGGACUGUGGAGCUCGAGUGCGGCAGAGGGAGGUGGAAUUCCACGUGUAGCAGUGAAAUGCGUAGAGAUGUGGAGGAACACCGAUGGCGAAGGCAGCCUCCUGGGCCGACACUGACGCUCAUGCACGAAAGCGUGGGGAGCAAACAGGA